rnacentral:rRNA from 1 species
GCUAACGUCCGUCGUGGAGAGGGAAACAACCCAGACCGCCAGCUAAGGUCCCAAAGUAUAGCUAAGUGGGAAACGAUGUGGGAAGGCUCAGACAGCCAGGAUGUUGGCUUAGAAGCAGCCAUCAUUUAAAGAAAGCGUAAUAGCUCACUGGUCGAGUCGGCCUGCGCGGAAGAUGUAACGGGGCUAAGCUAUACACCGAAGCUGCGGCUACGUACCUUAGGGUAUGUGGGGUAGGGGAGCGUUCUGUAAGCCGUUGAAGGUGGUCUGUAAGGGCUGCUGGAGGUAUCAGAAGUGCGAAUGCUGACAUGAGUAACGAUAAAGGGAGUGAAAAACUCCCUCGCCGGAAGACCAAGGGUUCCUGUCCAACGUUAAUCGGGGCAGGGUAAGUCGACUCCUAAGGCGAGGCCGAAAGGCGUAGUCGAUGGGAAACGGGUUAAUAUUGAAUUACUUCUUACAAUUGCGAUGGGGGGACGGAGAAGGCUAGGUGGGCCUGGCGACGGUUGUCCAGGUUCAAGUACGUAGGCGGGUGGUUUAGGUAAAUCCGGACCGCUACUAACGCUGAGAUACGAUGUCGAGCUACUACGGUAGUGAAGUCAUUGAUGCCAUGCUUCCAGGAAAAGCCUCUAAGCUUCAGAUUGUAAGGAAUCGUACCCCAAACCGACACAGGUGGUCGGGUAGAGAAUACCAAGGCGCUUGAGAGAACUCGGGUGAAGGAACUAGGCAAAAUGGUACCGUAACUUCGGGAGAAGGUACGCUCUUAUCAGUGAAGUCCCUUGCGGAUGGAGCAGACGAGAGUCGCAGAUACCAGGUGGCUGCAACUGUUUAUUAAAAACACAGCACUGUGCAAAAUCGUAAGAUGACGUAUACGGUGUGACGCCUGCCCGGUGCCGGAAGGUUAAUUGAUGGGGUUAGACUUCGGUCGAAGCUCUUGAUCGAAGCCCCGGUAAACGGCGGCCGUAACUAUAACGGUCCUAAGGUAGCGAAAUUCCUUGUCGGGUAAGUUCCGACCUGCACGAAUGGCGUAAUGAUGGCCACGCUGUCUCCACCCGAGACUCAGUGAAAUUGAAAUCGCUGUGAAGAUGCAGUGUACCCGCGGCUAGACGGAAAGACCCCGUGAACCUUUACUACAGCUUGGCACUGAACAUUGAACCUACAUGUGUAGGAUAGGUGGGAGACUAUGAAAUUGCGUCGCUAGAUGUGAUGGAGUCGUCCUUGAAAUACCACCCUUGUAGUUUUGAUGUUC